GAUGAACGCUGGCGGCAUGCCUUACACAUGCAAGUCGAACGGUAGCACGGGUGCUUGCACCUGGUGGCGAGUGGCGAACGGGUGAGUAAUAUAUCGGAACGUGCCCUAGAGUGGGGGAUAACUAGUCGAAAGAUUAGCUAAUACCGCAUACGAUCUACGGAUGAAAGUGGGGGAUCGCAAGACCUCAUGCUCUUGGAGUGGCCGAUAUCUGAUUAGCUAGUUGGUGGGGUAAAAGCUCACCAAGGCGACGAUCAGUAGCUGGUCUGAGAGGACGACCAGCCACACUGGAACUGAGACACGGUCCAGACUCCUACGGGAGGCAGCAGUGGGGAAUUUUGGACAAUGGGGGCAACCCUGAUCCAGCAAUGCCGCGUGAGUGAAGAAGGCCUUCGGGUUGUAAAGCUCUUUUGUCAGGGAAGAAACGGUGAGAGCUAAUAUCUCUUGCUAAUGACGGUACCUGAAGAAUAAGCACCGGCUAACUACGUGCCAGCAGCCGCAGUAA
rnacentral:rRNA from 1 species